GCUGCCACCCCUUGAUGAGACAUACCAGCCCGGGAGUCAGGGGGAAGAAAAAAUAUCUCCAAAACAUCUUCCCGUCAUCCUUUGUGUAGCAAAGGAUUGUCAAUCCCAAUCGCCACCUCAAUUGUCAGGAGUGGCUGCUAUAAUAUAAUCUUAAUUUUAAUGAACAGUAUUAUAUUUUUUCUACUUUCCUUGUUAAUCUAUAUGGUAAACCUUUCCAAUAUCUUUGAGUUCCCUCUUCCCAUAAAAGGGUUGAGUCCCGGAGUCCACCUGCACCUGUUACCAUGCAGCUCCCCCUCCCUUCCGUGAGAACACCCGACGUCAGUCCAUGUUAAGAUACUCUUAGCAACUGAGCAGUCAGGAUCGCACUAGCCUAGCAGUAAUGGAAUAAGGGCCCAGAACUCCGGUAUUGUGUAUGUUCCCUGUGUCUCUCCCCGAUACACAAGCGACUGCUUUGACUGGAGGCUUCAAAAAUCUAACGGGCUACUCUGAUCACGUUAACUCCCUACUUAGACUGGGAUAUCAGCUGGAAAUUAAUUGGAAACAAUAAAUAGACUGAUUGACGGUUGGGAUUGGAAUUUAUUCCACAGAGGUUGUACCUGCUCUUUUCAGAGUACAAACAAAGAAAAAGUGUUUCAGGAGAGUUGACGUGUCAUCUAAGCCCACACCUCGCCAACCCAUCCUGCUUCUUAUUACACUGCCAGCUCAGCCAGAAUGGAUUUCCAUGGAGGAGAGUGCAUGCAUUAUUUCGCCAACAACCACAACAAAGCUUGUAUGCGCCCAACCCAGCAAAAGGAGCUGCUAGAGCGUGCUCUCAGCCUGAGAAAUUGGUAUGGCACAACCAGAAAUCCAACUUCAGCUUGCAAUGAUGCAUCUUUAGAACCAGUGAGUUAGAUCACUGCACCACCCUAGGAGUCCUCUACUGGUGUUUACACAGAACGUUUACCUGUUCUGAAUGCUGCAGUAAGUGCAGACACUUGCACUAUAACUUGUUAUGAGCUGUUAAAAGUGUCUACCUUAAACUGUUCCUCCAGCCGCGUCCUGCUGGAG